rnacentral:rRNA from 1 species
GAUGAACGCUGGCGGCGUGCCUAAUACAUGCAAGUCGAGCGAACGGACGAGAAGCUUGCUUCUCUGAUGUUAGCGGCGGACGGGUGAGUAACACGAGGAUAACCUACCUAUAAGACUGGGAUAACUUCGGGAAACCGUAGCUAAUACCGGAUAAUAUUUUGAACCGCAUGGUUCAAAAGUGAAAGACGGUCUUGCUGUCACUUAUAGAUGGAUCCGCGCUGCAUUAGCUAGUUGGUAAGGUAACGGCUUACCAAGGCAACGAUGCAUAGCCGACCUGAGAGGGUGAUCGGCCACACUGGAACUGAGACACGGUCCAGACUCCUACGGGAGGCAGCAGUAGGGAAUCUUCCGCAAUGGGCGAAAGCCUGACGGAGCAACGCCGCGUGAGUGAUGAAGGUCUUCGGAUCGUAAAACUCUGUUAUUAGGGAAGAACAUAUGUGUAAGUAACUGUGCACAUCUUGACGGUACCUAAUCAGAAAGCCACGGCUAACUACGUG